rnacentral:piRNA from 1 species
UGUAGCAGAAAAGCGGCAUAUGCA